rnacentral:rRNA from 1 species
UAGGGAAUCUUCCGCAAUGGACGCAAGUCUGACGGAGCAACGCCGCGUGAGUGAAGAAGGUUUUCGGAUCGUAAAACUCUGUUGUUAGAGAAGAACAAGUGCUAGAGUAACUGUUAGCGCCUUGACGGUAUCUAACCAGAAAGCCACGGCUAACUACGUGCCAGCAGCCGCGGUAAUACGUAGGUGGCAAGCGUUGUCCGGAUUUAUUGGGCGUAAAGCGAGCGCAGGCGGUUCCUUAAGUCUGAUGUGAAAGCCCCCGGCUCAACCGGGGAGGGUCAUUGGAAACUGGGGAACUUGAGUGCAGAAGAGGAGAGUGGAAUUCCAUGUGUAGCGGUGAAAUGCGUAGAUAUAUGGAGGAACACCAGUGGCGAAGGCGACUCUCUGGUCUGUAACUGACGCUGAGGCUCGAAAGCGUGGGUAGCAAACAGGAUUAGAUACCCUGGUAGUCCACGCCGUAAACGAUGAGUGCUAAGUGUUGGAGGGUUUCCGCCCUUCAGUGCCGCAGUUAACGCAUUAAGCACUCCGCCUGGGGAGUACGACCGCAAGGUUG